rnacentral:rRNA from 1 species
UACGUAGGGGGCAAGGGCAGUUGUUCCGGAUUUCAUUUGGGUGCGUAAAAGAGCGUGUAGGCGGCCACUUAAGUCCUGCGUGAAAUCUUGCGGCUCAACCGCAAGCGGUCGUGGGAAACUGGGUGGCUAGAGUGCGGGAGAGGAGAGUGGAAUUCCUGGUGUAGCGGUGAAAUGCGUAGAUAUCGUAAGGAAGACCAGUGGCGAAGGCGGGUCUCUGGACAGUUCCUGACGCUGAGGCACGAAGGUCAGGGGAGCAAACGGG